GCGCAGUCACCCGGUCAAACCCCACCCACGCUACCCCCACCUUACUCCACCUUCUUCCUUCCCCGUGAAAACCCACCACCGCAACCCCCUCCCAACCACCGCCACCCCACCAACCCCACCCCUCCGGCGCGCCACCGCCCCCACUCCCGCGGUGCCCCACCACCCCCACCCUUUUCGGCGUGCCACCACCUUCCACCCCUGCGGUGCCCCACCUCCCCCACCCCUUCCGGCGCGCCACCACCUGCCAACCCUAUGGCGCCCCACCGCCGCCACCCCCGUAGCACCCCACCAUCCCCCACCCACACCGGCGCGCCACCAUCCCACGGCCACCACCCCGCGCUGCCCCUGCCACGACCACUGCGGUGCCUUGACUCGCCCCACUUCCCUAUCUCCCAGCUUGAUCUAGAUCGGGAUCAAGCCACAGGCGGAGCUCCUUCUCCCUCGCCGGCGAGACCACUUCUCUCCUCGCAGCCUCCUGUGCGACGACAUACAGAGGAGGAAGAGGUGCUCCUCGUAGUUGAUCUCAACCUCUACGGAGCGUGGGGAGGAUUCGAGGUCGUUGACCACGUUGGGACCCGACACACCGCCGAGCAGUUCCCCAGCGCCAGCCAGCCGCCGUAGGGACGCAACAAGGGCGCCGUUGCCUGAAAGUUGCCACCGUCGGGACAACGCAUCGCUGACAAGUUCACCACUGCCAGCGCUCGCCUUGUGUCGCCCGCAUCUCGAUCCAGUCGCAGCUGACGAGGCCGGAUCCCGCCUUCGGAGUGCACCGGUGGCCGCAGGAACCCAUGCAUCUGCCCAUGGAGAUGGGGCAGCGGCCGUGGAAGAGCAGUAGCUGCUCGUGUGUACUCACUCCGUUCGGAAUUACUUGUCGUAAAAAUGAAUGUAUCUAGACGUAUUUUAGUUCUAAAUACAUCCAUUUCCGAGACAAGUAAUUCCGAACGGAGGGAGUAGUUCAUAAGAGGCUUAUUUUGCUCUCUUUUUGGCAUAUUUUGGAUUCUGCAGUUCAUGUUACAUGGUUUUAGUGAUAAAGUUCAGUGCAGCAUUGCAUGCGGCCUUUUUUUAUAUUUUGCAGCGAGGUUCUCCAGUUCGUUGGUUGCAGUUCGGUGCACAAGGAUUGCAAUCUCGAUUGGAGAUUCGUUGAAAAAUGGAUUGCGGUUAAUUAUGACAAAAUUGUGUAGUUUGCUUCAAUCCGAUUCACCUUGAGGGCUUCUCGUGCAGUUUACUUGAUGCUCUCGUGCAGUGCGGAGUGCAUCUGCUUGCCAUCCCGCCAGACGCCCGAGCAGUACAUUUUUUCAUGGAAAAGUUGGGCCACACAGUUCACUCCGUCCAUGUUUUGUAUUUUUUGGAGAUUUUUUUUGAAGUGCACUCACUUUGUGUAAAAAGAAUAUGUUUCAUUACCCCUAUGUAUGAAGUGCAAUUUGUUU